ACAUGAUCGACUGACAUAACCUCAAACAUAAUUUGCUUAAUUUCUUCUGAAUUCUAAUAGAUUUUUUUGUUUAGAAGUUAGGAUAUCUAAUUUUCUAUUAACUAAAUUUUUAGUUUUGAAUUUUUCAUUUGAAUUUCAUUAUUUUAUAAAAUGGCGUUAAAUUUGACUGUGAAAAUACACCCAGUUGUAUUAUUUCAAAUUGUGGAUGCUUACGAACGAAGAAAUAUUGAUGCCCAUCGAGUAAUAGGAACAUUAAUGGGUUUGUGAAAAAGAACAAUUUAUCUAAAUAAUAAUCGUUAUGUAAUACUUUGACAAUAUUUGUAUUGAUAUUGCAUCUGUAUGUCUAGGUACGGACGACAAAGGUGUAGUUGAAGUAACCAAUUCUUUUGGAGUUCCUCACAAAGAAUAUGAAGACACUGUAAGUAAAUAAUAAUAUAGGUACCUGUAAUCUAUAUACAUUUUAUCUAUAACAUCUUAUGGAUUUUAAGGUGGAAGCGGAUAUUAUAUAUGCAGCUGAUAUGUUCAAAAUGAACCAAAAAGUUAAUAGAUCAGAAAAAAUUGUUGGAUGGUGGGCUACAGGUAAUGAAGUGACUACACAUUCAUCAACAAUCCAUGAAUACUACUUAAUUGAAUGUAAAAAUCCUGUACACAUUACUUUGGACACAACAUUAAAGAAUGAUAAUAUGGGUUUGAAAGCAUAUAUUAGGUAAGAUAUUAAAUUGAUAAUAUAGAAAUAUAUAUAUAUAUAUACUAUGGACUAAGUUUACUUAGCUAUAUUAAUGUGAAAUGUGUGAAAAAAGAUUAAUUAAUUUAUCAGUUUGAUAUGGGAUAUAAUAGGUAGGUAUGACAAUAAUAUAAUCCAUUAAUCUAGAGUGUUUGCAACAUGUUUAAUAUAUUAAAACAAAUAUGAUAAAUAAACUAUUGAACAUAUAAAAUAUUAAAAUAAAUUGUUUAGCUUUCUCUGAUAUUCUAUAUUACCUAUAAAAUUAUGGUUGAGUUGCUUUUACCAACGUUUUGUAAGUAAUUUCUAUUUAAUCUGAUUUUUAAAAUGCUUUAAAAUUAUUUUUAAAUCAAAGUAUGACCUUUACUAUAACACUAAUAAUAUUAUUUAAGAAACUACAUUCAUUAAUAAAAUCAAAUAUACUCAAUUUUACGAGUUUUUAGAAUACAUUUGUAAAAGAAAAGUUAAUCCUGGUGACGAGUAUACCACUAUUAUCAAUGAGAAGUUGGGAAGGUAGGAUACAUAAGGUUAUUUAAUUUAUAUUUAUAAGCAUCAAUAAACCAUUGUUAACGAAAAACGAUUUGGAGUGAAGUUCGAUUUAAUAAAACCUUUUUAUAUAGCACCAACUAAAUAAAAUUUCCUUUUCGGAAAGAGUGCUAUGCUACACUUGAUACAUUGGAACAAGUUUUCUUUUCGAAAAGUUAUUUACUGGCAGAAAAAAAAACAUUAAAAUCAAUAGGUCCCUUGCUAUGCUCCGAAUCUAAAAUAUAUAAUUUAAAUUAUCAUUAUACAAUACUAUACUACCAAAAUAUUGUAUUUGACCUAGAGUUACACCAAUUAUAAUUAAUAUGUGUAAAACAUCAAAAUUAUAUUUGAAAAAAAAAAUGACCAAUUUUCAACUAGAAAAAUAUAUAUUACAAUUUUUAAAUCUGUUCAGUAUCUAUUUUUAUAUUCAAAUGUACUUAAUUAAUUUGUACUAAAUAUUUUUUUUAUAUAGCACACAAAUAGGUGUUCCUGGUGGUAAAACUGGAAAUAUGUUUAUUAAUGUUCCAAUUGAAGUUACAUGUUACCAACCUGAAACAGUCGGAUGUAUGUAAUAUAUUUGUUUUAUUAUGUUUACCUAUUUUUGUUUAAUUAUUCAUUUAAAAAUAUCCUUUUAUAUAUAAUUAGUAUUAUUAGUAUUAGUAUUAGUAGUCAUUUAUAGUCUUUAUUAUUAAUUUAUAAUAUAAAUAAUAAGAAAAAAAUGUAUCCACCUCAAAUAUCUUUAUAAUAGAAUUAACUCAAAUGUUAAAGUUAGUUUAUAGAACUCCAUGUGUAAAUAGCAUAUACAUUAUUUUAAUAGUAUCUAGGUGUAUUUCACAUUUCUAAAAUAUUUUCGACUAUGGGAGAUUAUCUUUCUAAAUAUAAUCUAUUACUAUAAUUAAAAAUAAAUAUUUGUUGGAAAAUAAAGUAGGAUAGAAGAAGUGAGGAAGACCAAAAAAGAAAUAGUUGGUUACUAUUGAUAAAAGAUGGUAGGUAUAUCAGGAUGAUGUAGGGAUCAGGUCAAGUGGUGGAAGUAUAGGGUAAUUGGCCCCAAAUAGUUGAGAUGGUGGCAAAACAGAAGAAAAAAUAUAUUAAAUAGGUUCAAAUAUAUAAAUUAAUGCAUGUAUAGGUAGUAAUUUGUACUUAAUUUUUCUUAUUAGUGAGCUUGUGCCAAAAAACAGUAGCCGUUGGACAAAAAUGUCAAGAACCCAUUGCUGAGCUAGUACAAAUAGAAGAGGCAUCAUCAAAAAUCUCAGACCUUUUGGAUGUAGUGAUAUCUUACAUUGAUAAGGUUUUAGCAUCAAGUGACUCUAUCAUAGCUGAAAACAGUCAUAUUGGCCGUAUGUUACUUGAUCUUAUGCAAAGUGUUCCUCAUGUAUCGCCGGAACAAUUUGAAGAAAUGUUCAACUCCAAUGUCAAGGUAUACAGUUUUAACUAUUUUAUCUCAUUAAAAUGUUAAUAACAACAUUUACAUUUUUUUUUUUUAGGAUUUAUUGAUGGUUAUUACUUUGUCUCAGCUGACCAAGACUCAAUUAGAGCUCAACGAAAAACUUACACUACUCAGUUUGUCUUAAGUAUCAAUAUAACCAAUUUCUUUUGUUCAGUUUACCAUUUGCAUUAUAAUCUAACAAAAACUAUUUUUUUGGAAUUUUGAUUAUCUAUAGCCAAAGUAAAUUAUAUUGUUCUGCACUGCUGUACUGGAAUAAAUUCAAUAAAAGAUAUAAAAGUAAAACAAAUUUACAUAUUUAAAAAAUAAAAUAUUUAAUACCUAAAACAAUUAAACAUCAAAUUUUUUUUUUAGAAUAGGUACCUAUUGUACCUACACAUUACUAUAUGAAUGUUUAAGGCAUUUUAUAUCUGUAUUAGUUUUUGUCUUUGGUUUUGCCACACGAUAAAUAACUCAUUUUUUUUUUUGUCAUAUAAUAUAAUUGGUGUAAUUUUAAGUCAGUUCCGCACGGCAAGUUGUCCGUAGCACACGUCUGUUGACCGUCGUGCACGUACACUAUCGCCCUGCGCUUAUCGCAUCUUAAAAUUAAUGAGUACAAAGUCGAACUGUAUUCAGUACAAUUAUCAUUGUUUUCCUUAUAAUUUCUAUACGUGUUUAUUCAAAAACAUAAUCUGAUUCCGUCACCACCAUCGCCAAACCAGCUGUAGGCCAUGACUUACAACUUAUCAACUACUGUACCAUGCAACAAAUUAACUCAAACACGAAUAAAUCUAAAGACAAAUCGAAAUUAUCUCCGAUAACUAUUUAAAAAACUGCUUCUCAUAAGAUGCAGGACGUAACUUCUCCGUCUGCCACUUCUAACAACAACCAAGAAUGGAAUACUGUUGACAACAACAAACGCAUUAGGUCACUAAAUAAUACUACCUCGCCUCGCACAAAAAAAACAAACAAGCCGUCAAAUUUCUCCUCACAAACCAGUGUUCUCUACUAGACACCAACAUAAUAUGGAUCUCGAAAUUAACACAGAAAUCAACGAAUCACCUCCACCACCAAUUUUCUUAACAUCUCUGAUGUUCUCAUUCAUCUCUCUGUGUAAAAACCUAGAACAAAUAACGAAAACCGAGGGCUUCCUUUGCAAAUCUAACUCAAAAAAUAUAAAAAUAAACCUUCACUCAGCCAGUUCUUACCGCACCGCUAUAACAUUGUUCAAUGAGCCCAAACUUGAAUACCACACAUACCUGCAUCAUACAAUCCCUACUGAUUAUAUUAAAGAAGAAAUAGAAAACACGGAUUUCUGGUAAAAAAUAUCUCUAACAUCCUAAAAUCCCAAUCAAAAGAACCCCUUUCACUAUUCUUUGUAGACCUCAACCCAUCCCCAAACAACCAAGAUAUCAACAUAAACAAUAUAUAUUUUACUAAAGUCAAAUUUGAAGCCCCACAUAUCAGACGUGAUCUGAUACAAUGCCAUCGCUGUCAACAGUAUGGCCAUACUAAAUCAUAUUGCAACCACCUGCCUAAAUGCGUCUGAUGCGGCGAAACCAUACCUCGGACCAAUACUCCUAAUCCUAGGACCUACCUGUAAAAUGCACCAAGGCCCACCCAGCAACCCAUCUCAAGACACAACAGAAAACUCCGACACACUUCAAAUCCAACCCAACAGCCAACCUCCUUCAGAAACAUCAAAUCCGUACAAUGCUCUCGCAAGUUAAAUGUACCCAGUGACGCCCAGCAUUUAUCAUUCUCGCAAGCAGUUAAAGGUAAUAAAUCAAAUAAGCUAAAAUCAAGCCACAUAAACGACCCACCCCCAGAUCAACUAUUAACAAGUCAACUUACAACUUUCAUAUACGAGUUUAAAACUAAUCUCUCCCCUCCUAACACUUAAACCUUUAAUAACCCUUCUUACCUCACUAAUAAAUAAAUUAAGUACCAACAAUGGAAACUAAUUUUAAACUUAGACUACUAACAUGGAACCCAAACGGCAUUAUACCCCACAAACUUGAACUUCAGGCAGCCCUCAAUAUUCAUAACAGACACAGCAAUGAUAUCCAAAUCUCACCUAACCCCGACAAAAUCUAUUAAAAUUCUUGGAUACAAAGUUUAUCAAAGUAUUCACCCUGACUCCACUGCUCACGCUGGAUCGGUGAUCCUAAUUAAAAAUAAUUUAAUACUCCCUUCUACCGACUAUUAGUGAAACGUAUCUCUAGGCAACAAGCAUCCAAGUUUCUGUCAACAAAACAUUUUAAUCUGUCUUUCUCCUCCAUCUACUGCCCUCCAGGACCUAAAAUUAACUCAAACAAUUUCAAAAAUUACUUCGAAUCUCUAGGUAAUCACUUCAUUGUUGCCGGAGACCUUAAUGCCAAACACUCUUCUUGUGAUUGCCUCUCAACCAACCCAAGAGACAGAAUCCUUUAUAACUCAAACAUAAAAAUACUACCACCCUCUAACCCCACCUAUUGGUGAACACAUCAAAACCGCCGUCCAGAUAUCCUAGAUAUCGUCAUCGCAAGAGUACCAAAUAACUUCACUACUAUUAUCUCCAACAUAAAUGACCUGUCAUCCGACCAUACACCAGUCAUACUCAAUCUUGAAAUUCCCUGUUCAAACUCCUCCACAAAUCCUCAAAAUCUUGGGAAAAUAGACUGGCCUACUUUCCAAAAACUCAUAGAAAACUCGUACACUACUCAACCCUUCCUUAAAAUCAAGUGAAGACAUCGAUAGCACUAUCCAAAAGCUCACUUCAGAUAUCCAGGAAUGUAUUCACUUAGCAACAACACCAAGCAUAAUUCACUCCAAUAACCUACUCCCAAAUCAUAUAAAAUCUCUUCGCCGAGAAAAACAAAAAGCAAGAUCCCGAUGGGAAAGGCACAAAUAUCCCAUUGACAAACACACUUUCAACCAACUAAAUAAUAAACUAAAGAAAGCACUCCAACAACACAACUUCAUUUUUUAUCAACAAUAUAUCCAAAACUUGACAUCUCAUAACUCCUGCCUUUGGAAAACGACAAAAAAAUCGUAAAAAACUGUCUUAACUUCAUCUUCCCUUCGUAAAGAAGAUAACUCAUGGGUGGUCUCUGACACAGAAAAAGCAAACCUAUUCAGCCAAUAUCUAUCCCAAACCUUCAUUCCACAUGACAUAACCCCAAAUCCCACUUAAAGUCAAAUUGUCCCACAUUCUUUAGAGCUUGCAUUACCCGUCUCACUCCCAACUAAGCACACAAGUCCAGGAGAAAUCAAAUUUAUUAUUAAAAAACUCCAUAACAGGAAAGCCCCCUGGGUUUGAUCCAAUUACAAAUCGUACUGCCAAAAACCUACCCAAAAAAGUAAUCAUAUUACUUUCCUAUAUUUACAACACAGUGUUGCGUUUAUCCUAUUACCCCCUAACCUGAAAAUUUGCAGAGAUAAUAAUGAUUCCGAAACCCAACAAACCUCCUGAAAAAGUAACUUCUUAUCGCCAUAUAAGUUUACUCCCAACAUUAACUAAAGUAUUCGAAAAAUCCUAUUAAAGAGGCUCAUACCACUAGCUAUUACUGCAAAAGUUAUCCCCGAUACUCAAUUUGGAUUCAGACCCAAUCACUCUACCAUUCACCAACUCCACAGAGUAGUCGAUACUAUCUCAGUUUCUCUAGAGAAAAAACAUUACUGCACUGUCGUCUUUUUAGACGUUGCUCAAGCGUUUGAAAGGGUCUGGUUUGAUGGCCUACUUUACAAACUGCCUGCACCUUACUUCAUAUUGUUUAAAUCAUACUUGAACGAUCGUACUUUCGUCAUACGCCAGAACUUGAGCCACUCAAACUAUUUCAACAUCUUAGCUGGAAUUCCCCAAGGCAGCAAUAUUGCUCCCUUCCUAUACAAUAUCUUUACGCACGACAUUCUUAAAACUUCCUUUACCGAACUAGGUUCCUACGCGGAUAAUACGGCAAUUGUGGCCUCUAACAAAAACCCAAUCAUUGUUUCUACUUUGUUACAAAAACACCUCAACAUAAUCGACCUCUGGACAAAAAGAUGGAAGAUCAAAAUUAACGAAAUCAAGUCCUCCUUCAUUACAUUUACCCUAAAAAAAGGAAUUUAUCCCUUAGUCACAAUGAACAACAUCCCAAUCCCUUCCUACUCAGAAGUUAAAUAUCUUGGUCUCAUACUCAACAGUAAAUUUACCUGGAAUCCUCACAUAAAAGCCAAACGAAAAGCCCUUAAUACCCGACCCACUUCCUUAGACCAUUACUGAAAUCUAAAAUAAAUAUAAAUACCAAAUUACUAAUUUAUAAGUACUUACUCAAGCCAUUAUGGACCUAUGGCGUUCAAUUAUGGGGUGCUGCUAAACCCUCAAACACCCGUACAAUCCAAGCCUUCCAGUCAAUAUGCCUCCGCCUAGUUACAUCUGCACACUGGUACUUAACUAACAAAAAUCUUAAAAUCCUAAAUCUUAACCAAAUCUCCAAACUUUACUAAACCAGACUUCACAACAAAAUUCAGCAACACACAAAUCAUCUAAUUUUUAAAUUAUCAUCAAACACACUCCCUGAUAAUCCACGGUGUUGGCUUAAAAGACAAUGGUGCAGAGAUCUCACUCUAGUAAGCGAGCUUAAUAAGUGCUGGAGGUCGCUACCAGGGAACUUGUUUAAAUCUUAAAUACAUUUUUCUUUUCUCAUUUAUCAAAUCUACUCAUUAUACAAAAAAUAUUUAUAGAUAAUAGAUUUUUUUCAAUAAAAUAAAAUUUAAAAAAAUUUUAAGUUGUGUUUUCAUAGUGAAAACAAUUGUGAAUGAUUAACUAAAGAACUUUUUGUUGCCAAUAUUUUUAUGUUUGAAGCAGUUUGUCAAAACUUAACUUGCAAUAUUUACAAACACAUUUAGAUUCUGAGUGGAGCAAAGAAGCUUAUGGUUUUACAAUGAUUUUUAUUUUUUUUUUUUUAUCUGUGAUCAACGUUUCUAUUAGAAAUAUAUACUACUAUUUACAAUGGUAACACUUUUUUGGAAAUUUGAUUGGGAAUUUUAAAGAGGUCAUUUUUUAAUUUUCCCAUAAGUUUUCUCAAUACAUGGGAAAAUAAAAUAAAAAUGUAAUAAUAAAACAUUUUUAUCAUUUCAAAUAAUUUAGUGCCCGAUAAUAAUUUAAAAGAUCUACUCAAUAUAGUUUUUAAAGUGUAAUAAUUUAUAUUUACUACUAAGAUUUAAAAUUCAAAUUAAACUAUUUUUUUCUUUUCCUUAUAACAUUUUUACAUAUUUAUGAAUAUUCUAUAACAUUUAUGGUUCUGUAUAAAUGGUUAAGAUAGUUUGGAUAUUUUAAAAAUUUAGAUUCUUAUGUUUUUAUGUUAUAAUAUAUUAACAAAAAUCAAAAUUGUAAAAAUAUUGAUAGUAACAAAUCAAUAAAUGUAAAUAAUGAAUCAUUAAUUUUAGUAAUUGAUAUUCUUUAAUAAGUAUAAUAUACUUUUAAUAAGUCUUAGUGGAUCAAUAAAAAUAGAUUUAAUUCAACAUUAAAAUUCAAUAUUUUACUUUAAUUGUUAAUUAUAUUUAAAGAAGUAAGUUUUUAUUCUACAUAAAUUACAACUAAUAUUAGAAUUACAAACAUACUCAUAGACCAAUUAUAGUACUAAAACUUAAAUAUUAAAAAAGUAUACAACAGUAUUACAUUUCAAAUGUUUUAACAUUAUAUUUAAAAAAAUUUGAUUGAAUUGUGUACUCAAGCAGAAUAAGUAUAGGUAACUGAACUAAUAAUAAUAAGCUUAUAUCUUUAAGAAAUUGAAUCACUGUUGGAGGAACCUAUACUCUAUUCUACUGACAAGUAUACAAUAAAACUAAUGUUAUUUUAAACUAUAAAACUGAAAUUAAAUUUUAUAUACUUAAUUAUAUUAUGUUUAUAUCACAAUUCACUGAAAGUUUAUUUACAGAAUUCAGUAAGAUUUUACUUUUUUGAAUCAACAAUUAUUUGAUCUCCUUUGACUAUAUUGUAACUGUAUAAUCUCUUGUUGGGAAACUUCAUUUCUUCAGGACCAAUUACUGAACAUACUUGUUGAUCCACAUAAAAUAUUCGCAUACGGUGUGCUGGUAUACCAGAAAAUUUUUCAAAUUUUUGUUUGAGGUCUGCUACAGUCUGAUACACAUCUAAUGUAUAUUGUUCACACUUUUCACCGCAUAUAAUAGUGACCAAAACUUUAAUUUCAGGUGUCAAGUCUAUGUUAACCAAAGGAUCAAGUUUCCCAUGUACUUGAAUUAAUUCACUAUAUCUAAAACAUGUUUAAAGUGAUUUUAUAACUUUUGAAAUAUAAAUUAUGACAUACCUAUUUAAGUAAUAACUAAUAAUUAUGGAUUAAAAAUCUUUGAAGAAUAAAACUAGGUAUAAAUUUUUAAGAUUAUUUAAUUUAAUUAGUUCAAAAAAUAUAAUUUUUGAAAAUUAAAUUGUAUUAGCUACCUAAAGAUUAAUGAUUCAAUCACUUAUAGGUAGAUAAAUAGAAACUAUUAUGAAAUAAAUUUGAAUAGAAUUAAAAUAUUAUACAAAUUUAUAUAACUUUCUAUACAAUAUACAAAGUGAUUUAAUAAUAUUAAAGUUGUAAAAUGUAUGUAUAAUGUAUAUGCAUGAUAUAUUUUUUUAAAAUAAUGUUAAAUAAUUAAUGAGUAAGGUCUUUUUGGUACUGGUCUAGUUGACGUGUUGACACCAGCCAAGAAAGUAUUCUCAGUCACUCAGGUUUAGUUGAAAUCCACAUAUAUCUAAUAUUUUUUUGAUGUUCUAAUCAUUUGUUAUACAAUUUAUAUACUAUAUUUAUAGAUUAUACAUUUAAAACUAAAAUAUUAUACUGCUAAUAAAAAAAAAAAGUAUAUAUGUGUGAAAUUCACUUAUUUGAUAUUUUAAGAACAAUAUUUGGUAAAAUCUAUACAGUAAAAUUAAUGAUAUAAGAUAGGUAUAACAUCGGGUACCGUAUAUAAUAUUAUGGAAUACCUACCUGAGAUAUUCUGUCAUCAUCACUGAAAUAUCAUAACUAAACCUGAAUGGUGGGAGAAUACUUUUUUGGUGGACAUCAAUUAAAUCAGUAAUGUUUUUUUACCUAUCUGGGUGUUCAUUUUCUGGCUUAUCCAUAUAGUAUCGGAUUAAAAACCGUUCGGCAUCUUCUCUUUCAUCAGCUGUAAUUUCUGCACCUCCGUUUAAAGUUUGUAUAUGGGGCAAUCGUGCAAUCAACAACUGCCUACGUUCAUGUUCUGUGUAUUCUUGUCUUUCAGAGUUUUCCUAAAAUAAAAACAAUCAUCAAAGUUCCCAUUAAAUUUGGAAUAUAUCUAUAUAAAUAUUUUAAGAAUAGAAAUUUAAGAAUUUUUAAUAGUCGCUACUUACUUCAAAUAAUGGACAGCCCUGUAUUCUAAGGUAUCUUAAUGCAGGGAAUCGGCCCAGGAUAUCUACAUCGGCCCAUGUUCUAAUUAGGGUUCUGUUUAAGUUAAGGAAUCUUAGAUGUAUGAAAGCGUCAUGUGGUGAAUCCAACGUCAUAUCUUAGAAGUGCAAUAUUUUAUGAUAUAAUAAUUAAUAAUUGAUUAUUUUUUUAUACUAAUUAGGUAAACUCACCACAAAAUUCAUUAUCUUUCCUUGGGUAAGAUAAAAGGCCUAAAUGAGAGUCUGGUGAAGGUGGUGGAGUCAUAAGUGACUGCAGAGGACAUUCAGCAAGUACCAAAGAUUCCAGAUUUGGAAAUGCCCGUCCUAGUUUACAUACUUCUGACCAUGUAGAAAUAGGGUUUCCUAUAAAUAAUGU